CAAUAGCGUAUAUUAAAGUUGUUGCGGUUAAAAAGCUCGUAGUUGGAUUUCUGUCGAGGACGACCGGUCCAGCAAUUUGCUCGGAACCAGGUUUGGCCGAGACACUUCUUGGUGUGCAUGAGAUGACCAUUGACUUGGUUGCAUGGACUCCAGGGCUUUUACUUUGAGGAAAUUAGAGUGUUUCAAGCAGGCGAUUGUCUUGAAUACAUUAGCAUGGAAUAAUAAGAUAAGACUUCGGUUUUGUUUUGUUGGUUUUAAGAACUGAAGUAAUGAUUAAUAGGGACAGUCGGGGGCAUUCGUACUUAACAGUCAGAGGUGAAAUUCUUGGAUUUGUUAAUGACGAGCUACUGCGAAAGCAUUUGCCAAGAAUGUUUUCAUUGA
rnacentral:rRNA from 1 species